rnacentral:rRNA from 1 species
GAUCCUGGCUCAGGAUGAACGCUAGCGACAGGCUUAACACAUGCAAGUCGAGGGGCAGCAUGGUUUGUAGCAAUACAAACUGAUGGCGACCGGCGCACGGGUGAGUAACGCGUAUGCAACUUACCUAUCAGAGGGGGAUAGCCCGGCGAAAGUCGGAUUAAUACCCCAUAAAACAGGGGUCCCGCAUGGGAAUAUUUGUUAAAGAUUUAUUGCUGAUAGAUAGGCAUGCGUUCCAUUAGG